rnacentral:rRNA from 1 species
UGCAAGUCGAGCGGAGAGAGGUAGCUUGCUACUGAUCUUAGCGGCGGACGGGUGAGUAAUGCUUAGGAAUCUGCCUAUUAGUGGGGGACAACAUUUCGAAAGGAAUGCUAAUACCGCAUACGUCCUACGGGAGAAAGCAGGGGAUCUUCGGACCUUGCGCUAAUAGAUGAGCCUAAGUCGGAUUAGCUAGUUGGUGGGGUAAAGGCCUACCAAGGCGACGAUCUGUAGCGGGUCUGAGAGGAUGAUCCGCCACACUGGGACUGAGACACGGCCCAGACUCCUACGGGAGGCAGCAGUGGGGAAUAUUGGACAAUGGGCGCAAGCCUGAUCCAGCCAUGCCGCGUGUGUGAAGAAGGCCUUAUGGUUGUAAAGCACUUUAAGCGAGGAGGAGGCUACUUUAGUUAAUACCUAGAGAUAGUGGACGUUACUCGCAGAAUAAGCACCGGCUAACUCUGUGCCAGCAGCCGCGGUAAUACAGAGGGUGCAAGCGUUAAUCGGAUUUACUGGGCGUAAAGCGCGCGUAGGCGGCUAAUUAAGUCAAAUGUGAAAUCCCCGAGCUUAACUUGGGAAUUGCAUUCGAUACUGGUUAGCUAGAGUGUGGGAGAGGAUGGUAGAAUUCCAGGUGUAGCGGUGAAAUGCGUAGAGAUCUGGAGGAAUACCGAUGGCGAAGGCAGCCAUCUGGCCUAACACUGACGCUGAGGUGCGAAAGCAUGGGGAGCAAACAGGAUUAGAUACCCUGGUAGUCCAUGCCGUAAACGAUGUCUACUAGCCGUUGGGGCCUUUGAGGCUUUAGUGGCGCAGCUAACGCGAUAAGUAGACCGCCUGGGGAGUACGGUCGCAAGACUAAAACUCAAAUGAAUUGACGGGGGCCCGCACAAGCGGUGGAGCAUGUGGUUUAAUUCGAUGCAACGCGAAGAACCUUACCUGGCCUUGACAUAGUAAGAACUUUCCAGAGAUGGAUUGGUGCCUUCGGGAACUUACAUACAGGUGCUGCAUGGCUGUCGUCAGCUCGUGUCGUGAGAUGUUGGGUUAAGUCCCGCAACGAGCGCAACCCUUUUCCUUAUUUGCCAGCGAGUAAUGUCGGGAACUUUAAGGAUACUGCCAGUGACAAACUGGAGGAAGGCGGGGACGACGUCAAGUCAUCAUGGCCCUUACGGCCAGGGCUA